rnacentral:lncRNA from 1 species
CCUGACCCCAGGACCUUGGAAUUGGCCUUAUUUGGAUGGAGGGUCUUUCCAGAAGUAACAAAGCUGAAGUGAGGUCAGUAGGGUAGACCCUAGUCCUCAUCAGAAGGGAGAACUUGGACACAAAGAAACCCACAAAGGGAAGGCGAUGUGAAGACACAGAAAGAAACGCCCACCUACAAGCCACAGAGUGAGGCCUGGAACACGUCCUCCCUCCCCACACAGCCUCAGAGGGAACCAGCCCUGCUGUUGCUAUGAUCUCAGAUUUGCAGCCUCCAGAGCCAUGAGAUAAUACGUGUCCGUGCUUUAAGCCGCCCAGUCUGUGGCACUUUGUUAUGGUAGCCUGAGCAGACUAACACAGGCCCCAGGCUGGACACAACACAAAUGCCCGUCAGGAGGUGCGCAGAUAUUCUUAAGAGGCAGCAGAUACCCACUGGAAUCCCUCGAAGCCUGGCAGCCCCCCACGGAGCAGAGGGGGCCCUGUGCAUGAGGUCUCCUUUUCAGCCUCAAAAUCACCAACUUCUCAUCAUUAAAACUGAGAGAGAGAGAGAGAGAGAGAGAACACCAAAGCCUCACCGUGGAAACACAUGAACACGAAUGAGCAGGCUGUAGCGGAAGCAUGCCAUCUACUGCCAUCUGCUUCUGGUGAGGCCUCAGGGAGCUGCCAAUCAUGGCGGAAGGUGAAGGGGAGCCAGUGCAUCACACGGCAA